AGAAGUGUAGCUCAGUGGCAGAGCCACUGCUUGGAAUGCAGAUAGUCCCAGUUUCAAUCCCUAGCGCGAUGCCUCCC